rnacentral:lncRNA from 1 species
CGCAAAAUGACAUCAAAACCUGUUUUUCUGGUUUUGAGCUUAACUUUCAUUUCCGGACUUUUCCCUAGCUUGACUUGUCUUUGUACUUCUUGGAGUUUGCUGAAUGGCUAUUGGAUGAACUUGUUGUUGUGUGUGUACCUUUGGGUUUGAAUGAGAAGAAUAAUGAAGCCAUGAUGGCUGGAAAAGUUAGCAAAUGUAGGGGAAGUGCUGUCCGAACUUUUAAAGGACUUGUUUGCAUUGAGUUUGUGAUCUAAGACUUGGAUUUGAGCAAGGCAAUGUUAUAUGAUGGAUGAUUUCUGAGCCAUGGAGGUGAGUGACCCUAAACUGUUUCCAAAGUUACUUUUGAAAUGUUCCUUGCAUUGUUUCUUUGGUUUGCAUAUCAUGUGUGCGCGCAUACGAGUUCUUGACAUGGUUUGGCUUUAAUGAGUUCUUGAGGAGUCUUGUGCUGGACACCAACGUCUCCACCACUUUCGUGAGUUUGUGAUAUGAUCUGGAGCACCGAUGCUGCUCCCCUUUAAUGUUUAUGGUUUCGUGAUCUGUUUGAGCGUUGGGUGUUUAGUUUCAAUGAUUUCACUGGCUCACGAGAGCAAAAAUACGUGCAUUUGAUACUUGAAUCAUGACAUCAUCGAAAUGAAUUAUUGUGAAAGAUAUUUGAUUACUGGUUUUAUUUGGUUACUCGCUGAGCUUCUAACUUACCCCAAAAAUAUUUUAUUCCCCUCCACAGGGCUCAAGGCGAAGGCAGGACUUGUUGUGCUUAUUCCUGUGAAUGGAUGGAUUAUCUCGUGUAUGGUUUGAAUUUGGAUUUCCUUUUGU